rnacentral:rRNA from 1 species
AUUGAACGCUGGCGGCAUGCCUUACACAUGCAAGUCGAACGGCAGCACGGGUGCUUGCACCUGGUGGCGAGUGGCGAACGGGUGAGUAAUACAUCGGAACGUACCUUAUCGUGGGGGAUAACGCAGCGAAAGCUGUGCUAAUACCGCAUACGCCCUGAGGGGGAAAGCGGGGGAUCGAAAGACCUCGCGCGAUUAGAGCGGCCGAUGCCUGAUUAGCUUGUUGGUGGGGUAAACGCCCACCAAGGCGACGAUCAGUAGCUGGUCUGAGAGGACUAUCAGCCAGAAUGGGACUGAGACACGGCCCAGACUCCUACGGGAGGCAGCAGUGGGGAAUUUUGGACAAUGGGGGCAACCCUGAUCCAGCAAUGCCGCGUGAGUGAAGAAGGCCUUCGGGUUGUAAAGCUCUUUUGUCAGGGAAGAAACACCGGCUCUAACACAGUCCGGGAAUGACGGUACCUGAAGAAUAAGCACCGGCUAACUACGUGCCAGCCGCCGCAGUAAUAC